UACGUAGGGUGCAAGCGUUGUCCGGAAUUAUUGGGCGUAAAGAGCUUGUAGGCGGUUUGUCGCGUCUGCUGUGAAAUUUCGGGGCUCAACCCCGAACUUGCAGUGGGUACGGGCAGACUAGAGUGUGGUAGGGGAGACUGGAAUUCCUGGUGUAGCGGUGAAAUGCGCAGAUAUCAGGGGGAACACCGAUGGCGAAGGCAGGUCUCUGGGCCAUAACUGACGCUGAGAAGCGAAAGCAUGGGGAGCGAACAGG
rnacentral:rRNA from 1 species